CACGUAGUUAGCCGCCCCUUUCUGGUAAGAUACCGUCACAGUGUGAACUUUCCACUCUCACACUCGUUCUUCUCUUACAACAGAGCUUUACGAUCCGAAAACCUUCUUCACUCACGCGGCGUUGCUCGGUCAGACUUUCGUCCAUUGCCGAAGAUUCCCUACUGCUGCCUCCCGUAGGAGUCUGGGCCGUGUCUCAGUCCCAGUGUGGCCGAUCACCCUCUCAGGUCGGCUAUGUAUCGUCGCCUUGGUGAGCCGUUACCCCACCAACUAGCUAAUACAACGCAGGUCCAUCUGGUAGUGAUGCAAUUGCACCUUUUAAGUAAAUGUCAUGCAACAUCUACUCUUAUGCGGUAUUAGCUAUCGUUUCCAAAUAGUUACUCCCCCGCUACCAGGCAGGUUUACCUACGCGUUACUCACCCGUUCGCAACUCAUCCAGAGAAGCAAGCCUCCUCCUUUAGCGUUCUACUUGCAUGUAUUAGGCACCGGCCGCCAGCGUCGU
rnacentral:rRNA from 1 species